ACGCCCAUCAUUUGCGAAAAGAAUUGGCUCAAUUUGGACACAGUGCCCGUGGUUUUUGGAGGUGCUAAUUAUAGCAGUACUUAAUCGCAGCACAUUUGAAACACGGAAAGCUGUGGUGCCAAGACAUGCCACUACCAAUGAGCAUAUUGGCGUAUUGGCUAUCCUUUACGUGGUGAGAGCGUGCU